rnacentral:misc_RNA from 1 species
AGAAGACUAACAAAAAGAAAGGAGAGAAAGGGGGGAAAUUGUUGACAAGAAGGUCAGAGUUUAAAAUAGUGAGUUUUUUGAAAUGUCAUCUGAAAUAAGAUUCAAUGUGAAAUUUUCAAAAUCAGAAAAGGCAGCAAUAAGCAUUUCUUAUUGACAUGAAAAUAGAAGAACACAUUAGCUAAUGCCAUUUGGGACCUUGUUCGGAGUUCAGAUUUCAAUAGACUUUAACAACAACGAAAGCUGGACAAAAUAAUCAAUAA